UGGGGAAUAUUGGACAAUGGGGGCAACCCUGAUCCAGCAAUGCCGCGUGUGUGAAGAAGGUCUUCGGAUUGUAAAGCACUUUCGACGGGGACGAUGAUGACGGUACCCGUAGAAGAAGCCCCGGCUAACUUCGUGCCAGCAGCCGCGGUAAUACGAAGGGGGCUAGCGUUGCUCGGAAUGACUGGGCGUAAAGGGCGUGUAGGCGGUUUACACAGUCAGAUGUGAAAUCCCCGGGCUUAACCUGGGAGCUGCAUUUGAUACGUGUAGACUAGAGUGUGAGAGAGGGUUGUGGAAUUCCCAGUGUAGAGGUGA
rnacentral:rRNA from 1 species